UGCGCACGUGUGGGCUUCCAUAUCUUUCCCAGCGAUUUCAUCAAAAGCUGGCAAGAAUUGGCAGUCUACAUGUGCAUA
rfam:Caenorhabditis tropicalis strain JT1373 unplaced genomic scaffold Scaffold582, whole genome shotgun sequence.